rnacentral:rRNA from 1 species
CGGAUCGCAGGCUGNAACCCGCCUGCGUGAAGUUGGAAUUGCUAGUAAUCGCGGAUCAGCAUGCCGCGGUGAAUACGUUCCCGGGCCUUGUACACACCGCCCGUCACACCAUGGGAGCCGGUAAUACCCGAAGUCAGUAGCCUAACCGCAAGGGGGGCGCUGCCGAAGGUAGGAUUGGCGACUGGGGUGAAGUCGUAACAAGGUAUC